GAUGAACGCUAGCUACAGGCUUAACACAUGCAAGUCGAGGGACCGGCGCACGGGUGAGUCAAACGUAUCCAACCUGCCCUUUACUCGGGGAAAGCCUUUCGAAAGAAAGAUUAAUACCCGAUGUAAAGGAUGGGGAUGCGUUCCAUUUGGUUGUUGGUGAGGGAACGGCUCACAAAGCCAUCGCUGGAGAGGGGUUCGUAGAGGAAGGUCCCCCACAUUGGAACUGAGACACGGUCCAAACUCCUACGGGAGGCAGCAGUGGGGAAUAUUGGUCAAUGGGCGUUAGCCUGAACCAGCCAAGGAGCGUGAAGGAUGAAGGCUUCGGGUUGUAAAGCACUUUCAGCGGGGAGGCGUUACCCGCAGAAGAAGCACCGGCUAACUCCGUGCCAGCAGCCGCGGUAAUUC
rnacentral:rRNA from 1 species